rnacentral:rRNA from 1 species
CCUACGGGUGGCAGCAGUGGGGAAUAUUGGACAAUGGGCGAAAGCCUGAUCCAGCCAUGCCGCGUGUGUGAAGAAGGCCUUCGGGUUGUAAAGCACUUUCAGUGGGGAAGAAAGCCUUGGGGCUAAUACCCUCGAGGAAGGACAUCACCCACAGAAGAAGCACCGGCUAACUCCGUGCCAGCAGCCGCGGUAAUACGGAGGGUGCGAGCGUUAAUCGGAAUUACUGGGCGUAAAGCGCGCGUAGGCGGUCUGAUAAGCCGGUUGUGAAAGCCCCGGGCUCAACCUGGGAACGGCAUCCGGAACUGUCAGGCUAGAGUGCAGGAGAGGAAGGUAGAAUUCCCGGUGUAGCGGUGAAAUGCGUAGAGAUCGGGAGGAAUACCAGUGGCGAAGGCGGCCUUCUGGACUGACACUGACGCUGAGGUGCGAAAGCAUGGGUAGCAAACAGGAUUAGAUACCCUUGUAGUC